rnacentral:rRNA from 1 species
UACAGAGGGUGCAAGCGUUAAUCGGAAUUACUGGGCGUAAAGCGUGCGUAGUCGGUUAUCUAAGUCGGGUGUGAAAUCCCCGGGCUCAACCUGGGAAUUGCAUUCGAUACUGGAUAGCUAGAGUUCGGCAGAGGGAAGCGGAAUUCCCGGUGUAGCGGUGAAAUGCGUAGAUAUCGGAAGGAACAUCAGUGGCGAAAGCGGCUUCCUGGACCAGAACUGACGAUCAGGCACGAAAGCGUGGGGAGCAAACAGG